rnacentral:rRNA from 1 species
GUGAGGAAUUUUCCGCAAUGGGCGAAAGCCUGACGGAGCAAUGCCGCGUGAAGGAUGAAGACCUAUGGGUUGUAAACUUCUUUUCUCAGAAAAGAAUUAUGACGGUAUCUGAGGAAUAAGCAUCGGCUAACUCUGUGCCAGCAGCCGCGGUAAGACAGAGGAUGCAAGCGUUAUCCGGAAUGAUUGGGCGUAAAGCGUCUGUAGGUUGUUUAAAAAGUAUUCUGUCAAAGAUUAGGGCUUAACCCUAGAUAGGCAGAAUAAACUUUUAAGCUAGAGUUUGGUAGAGGCAGAGGGAAUUCCCGGUGGAGCGGUGAAAUGCGUAGAUAUCGGGAGGAACACCAAAGGCGAAGGCACUCUGCUGGGCCAAUACUAACACUGAGAGACGAAAGCGAGGGGAGCAAAUGGGAUUAGAAACCCCGGUAGUCC